AGGGUUUGAUUAUGGCUCAGGAUGAACGCUAGCGGCAGGCUUAACACAUGCAAGUCGAGGGGUAACAGGAGUAGCUUGCUACUUCGCUGACGACCGGCGCACGGGUGCGUAACGCGUAUAGAAUCUACCUUGUACUAGGGGAUAGCCUUUGGAAACGAAGAUUAAUACCCUAUAGUAAGUAUUUAUGGCAUCAUUUAUACUUUAAAGGUUACGGUACAAGAUGACUAUGCGUCCUAUUAGUUUGUUGGUAAGGUAACGGCUUACCAAGACUUCGAUAGGUAGGGGCCCUGAGAGGGGGAUCCCCCACACUGGUACUGAGACACGGACCAGACUCCUACGGGAGGCAGCAGUGAGGAAUAUUGGACAAUGGAGGCAACUCUGAUCCAGCCAUGCCGCGUGCAGGAUGACGGCCCUAUGGGUUGUAAACUGCUUUUAUGUAGGAAGAAACACUCUCACGUGUGAGAGCUUGACGGUACUACAAGAAUAAGGACCGGCUAACUCCGUGCCAGCC
rnacentral:rRNA from 1 species